GCCCUUCUCUCCCCGCCUUUCCCGAGGCCCCUAUGCCCAAGAUCCUCUUUCUCCAAUCGUAGUCUUCCUCCGGCCUCCUCUCUCAGCUCCUUCCUCCCUCCACGUUCUGUCCCGUCUACCCCCUCCAAGUUACCCCCUCCCGCAUCUACCCCCACCCCGUCUUCUCCCUGGUCCUCGUACUGCAGUUCGCACGCGUCGUGGUGCUGGUAGCCUGGGCUAGUGCAGAUGCCGCCGUGGUCGCUCGCUAUCCCUUCCCUGCACAUUCGUUCACUCUGGCUCUGGGCGGUGACUUCCGAGAUUUCGCCGGCGCCUUUCCUUCUUACUUCUGCUUCGUGCAUCCGGGGGCAACGGGGGGAGAUGGGAAACCUGGAUGAACUCUGCUGCAUCUCUUGAGAAAGUAGCAGUGUUUGGAGGUUUCAACUGCUGGACCGAAAACUGCAAUGUACUGCUUCUCUUCCUGGAGACAGCAAGUCUUUGGGCAUUGUUACCUCACAGGCUCAUAGCAAAAAAUGAAAAGAGAAAAGAGAGAGAAUUGAUCCAGUCUCUCAUGGAUCAGAACAAUAAUAUAUGAAGCCCAGUAUUCUGCCUCUGAAAAAAGUAAAAGGAGUUCUGGGAUACUUGGUGAGCCUACUUCUGACCAUGAGUGUCUCAGGGCUGAUGCGAUGUAAAUAGAAGAUUUUUUGUCUGCUGAGGAACCAGAAGGACUGGUGAGGAACCAGAAGGACAAGAGAUCCAGAGCCAGAACUGAUUUUUCACCCAAAGGAUCAAUAUGCCCUUCCUUCGUUCCCUCUUCUUUUGUGUUUUCUUUCAUGGUAAACGCAUGUAAAAGCAAAAACUUACAAUAGUAGCUAGGUAUCUCAGUGGAUAGAGGACCAGAUCUGGAGAUGGAAGAUCCUGGGUUCAAAAUUGACCUCAGAUACUUCCUAGCUGUGUGAUCCUGAGCAAGUCACUCAACCCCAAUUGCCUAGCUC
rnacentral:lncRNA from 1 species